UACGGAGGCCCCAAGCGUUGUUCGGAUUUAUUGGGCGUAAAGGGUGCGUAGGCGGCGUGGUAAGUCUGGUGUGAAAGGCGUGGGCUCAACCCACGGACUGCAUUGGAUACUGCCAUGCUAGAGGACUGGAGAGGAGAAUGGAAUUCACGGUGGAGCAGUGAAAUGCGUAGAUAUCGUGAGGAAGGCCAGUGGCGAAGGCGAUUCUCUGGACAGUACCUGACGCUGAGGCACGAAGGCUGGGGGAGCGAACAGG
rnacentral:rRNA from 1 species